AGUGGAGCCUGCGGCUUAAUUUGACUCAACACGGGAAACCUCACCAGGCCCGGACACCGGAAGGAUUGACAGAUUGAGAGCUCUUUCUUGAUUCGGUGGGUGGUGGUGCAUGGCCGUUCUUAGUUGGUGGAGCGAUUUGUCUGGUUAAUUCCGAUAACGAACGAGACUCUAGCCUGCUAACUAGGCGUAUUUCGACAUCCCAAAGGCCCGCCGAUUUGGGGUUUCGGCUCCUUAUCGCGCGCGGUUUUUACUGUCGGCGUACAAACAAUUCUUCUUAGAGGGACAGGCGGCAUCUAGCCGCACGAGAUUGAGCAAUGACAGGUCUGUGAUGCCCUUAGAUGUUCUGGGCCG
rnacentral:rRNA from 1 species